GACGUAGGGCGCGAGCGUUGUCCGGAUUUAUUGGGCGUAAAGAGCUCGUAGGCGGCUUGUCGCGUCAACUGUGAAAACCCGUGGCUCAACCAUGUGGUCUGCAGUCGAUACGGGCAGGCUAGAAUUCGGUAGGGGAGACUGGAAUUCCUGGUGUAGCGGUGAAAUGCGCAGAUAUCAGGAGGAACACCAGUGGCGAAGGCGACUUCCUGGCCUGUUCUUGACGCUGAGGCGCGAAAGCUAGGGUAGCAAACGGG
rnacentral:rRNA from 1 species